rnacentral:rRNA from 1 species
AUGUUAAUCCCAUCAGGGGUAAGAUUUUGCAAUCUAUCUUGUCCGGCAAAGGUGAUUUUUUUUAUUUGGCGUACAUUGCAUGGAACUCUCCCAUGUCAUGUUACGCUUGCAAAUAGACACAUGAAGUUACGCACUUGUCCAUCAUGUGAAAAUGGGCCAGAAGAUACAAAGCAUGUGUUGUUCCUAUGUCAGAAAGCAAGGGAGGUUCGGAAUCGACUGAGAAUGGACGAGGUUAUUAGCAGAGCCUGUGCCAUUGAUCGUGCGGGAGAGGCUGCCCUCGAAUUUCUACUACUUUUGCCAGACCAGGAUCUUUUUAUAAUGGGCCUUCAGAAUGCUCGUGAAGUGACUUCCAUCACAGCUUGGUACUUAUGGUGGGAGAGACGUAAAUUGGUUCAUGAAGAAAAAUUCCAAAAUGCAUGCCAAAUCUCUAUGGUGUGCGUGCUUUGA